GGGCGUGUGAGUGGUGUUUGGUUUGCUUGGAUAGCAGGCUCUAUGCUAGUGCAUCGAACUGCCAGCCCGCAAUCCACUUCAAUGAUUCGAGCAUGACCUGUUAUCUUGCUCGGGUUUAAGGUGUUCCUGUGUUCGAUACCCACGAUUACGGAAAUCGAUUUGUAGCGUUUUGAUUUUCCGCUUUGGUGCCCUUUUGCUGGGCGCUGGCGGACCACGUAGCUUUGGGCUGUAAUCCUAGGCUUGCCUGUUAGGCAGCCACGGACAAAAUUUGCUCUAAGGCUUGUGCUUUCGGCUGUGGAAGAUCGUGAGGCCAGAGGGAGUUCAUCCUUCUAUUGGGCCCCAUACGAGAGUGUCUCUCGGUACGAACGACAAUCUCUGCACGUCGCGUUUCUCUCUUGCUUCUUUGGAGCUGGGGGGAAGCGUGCGGGCAUAGGCGUCGCGAAGGAGUGCUACCUGGUUGAUCCUGCCAGUAGUCAUAUGCUUGUCUCAAAGAUUAANCCAUGCAUGUGA
rnacentral:misc_RNA from 1 species